CUAAUACCGCAUAAGCCUGAGGAAGGGAAAGCCGAAAGGCGCUCGAGGAGGAGUCCGCGGCCGAUUAGCUAGUUAGUGAGGGUAAGGCUCACCAAGGCGAAGAUCGGUAGACGGGCCUGAGAGGGCACACGGCCGCACUGGCACUGAAACACGGGCCAAUUUCUUACGGUAGGCAGCAGUUGGGAAUCUUGCACAAUGGAGGUAUCUCUGAUGCAGCGAUCUCCGCUUGAGCGAUGAAGCCCUUCGGGUUGUAUAGCUCUUUCGACAGGAACGAUAAUGACGGUACCUGGAGAAGAAGCUGCGGCUAACUACGUGCCAGCAACCGCGGUAAUACGUAGGCAGCAAGCGUUGUUCGGAAUUACUGGGCGUAAAGAGUGUGUAGACGGUGCUCUAAGUUCGGUGUGAAAUCUCCCGGCUUUACUGGGAGGGUGCGCCGGAAACUGGAGUGCUUGAGCGCGGGAGAGGAAAGCGGAAUUCCUGGUGUAGCGGUGAAAUGCGUAGAUAUCAGGAGGAACACCUGUGGUGUAGACGGCUUUCUGGACCGUAGCUGACGCUGAGACACGAAAGCGUGGGUAGCAAACA
rnacentral:rRNA from 1 species